rnacentral:rRNA from 1 species
CCUACGGGAGGCUGCAGUGGGGAAUAUUGGACAAUGGGGGGAACCCUGAUCCAGCCAUGCCGCGUGUGUGAAGAAGGCCCUCGGGUUGUAAAGCACUUUCAAUGAGGAAGAACGCCUGGUGGUUAAUACCCAUCAGGAAAGACAUCACUCACAGAAGAAGCACCGGCUAACUCCGUGCCAGCAGCCGCGGUAAUACGGAGGGUGCGAGCGUUAAUCGGAAUUACUGGGCGUAAAGCGCGCGUAGGUGGCUUGAUAAGCCGGUUGUGAAAGCCCCGGGCUCAACCUGGGAACGGCAUCCGGAACUGUCAAGCUAGAGUGCAGGAGAGGAAGGUAGAAUUCCCGGUGUAGCGGUGAAAUGCGUAGAGAUCGGGAGGAAUACCAGUGGCGAAGGCGGCCUUCUGGACUGACACUGACACUGAGGUGCGAAAGCGUGGGUAGCAAACAGGAUUAGAUACCCUAGUAGUC